rnacentral:lncRNA from 1 species
UAUUAUUAUUAUUAGGGUUAAGUUCAUACAUGUUUCGGUAAAUAUAGUGAGUAAUAAAUAAUUUUUUAUAAAAUUCAACUUUCAUGUGCUGUUUCUAUAAAAAUUCUAAUGUUUUCAAAUAUAUCUCUAUGGUUUGUUACCGUUAGAGAAUUGUUAAAGAACCGUUUAUAUUUUCAAUUUUGGCAUCACAAAUAUAUCCCUUCAAAAGCCAUAUUAGUGUAAUAUAAAAGGGUACAAAUGUCAAAAACUAACUAGAGUUAAGUAUUUAACUUAUGGUUAACUAAUUUUUUCUAACGGAUUCUAACAGCAGAGGUAUAUUUGAAAAUAUCAGGAUUUUUACAGAAACAAUAUAUGAAAAUUAAACUUUAUAUAAGAAAUAUAUUUAUUAUUCACUAUAUUUACAGGAACAUGUAUGAAAUUAACCCAUAUUAUUAUUUUAGACAAAAUUAAGGUCAAACUCAUUUAAACGACACCUUUUUAAAGAUUUUAAUAUUCUCAAGAUGGGCCUUCAAAUAAAGAGAAAGUGUUACGACUAGGAGAGAAAGUGUUAUGACCAGCACACAAAUAGAAAAGAUAAACGACUUGCGUUCGCAAAGUAGAUAAAUCAUAGAAAAAUAGUAAUAUAAAAUGAACAUAAAGAUUCACAUGAAAAAUCUUUUGCAGAAAUAAAUCACGGACGAGGAAGGAGAAAGCUUCACUAUACAGAAAAGAGAAAUAUAAUGUUGCUAAGUACAAUCAAUUUAUGUAUCGCCUCUAGGACAAAACUAAGAUAGAAACCUUCUAACGGGUUUCGCAUUCUAUCGGUCCUAGUCCUCUGCUAUCCAUUAUAGAGAUCUAUUUUUUUUCUUUAUAAUUUUUUUAUAUUAAUUUUGUCGCAUCGCAAAACUGUCGACGAGCCAAAAUCUCAAAACUGAAGUCGAUUACUAAAUUUU